rnacentral:lncRNA from 1 species
AAGGACGGACGCCGCUUCCGUUGAAGUUAGGUGAGCUUGCGAGUCCGCGACGACCUUGGUGAUUUUACUACUACUUCUACUCUAUUAGUCAUGGAAUUCAGGAGAGCUUGGGUUCGAAUAUUAUUUUCUGGGAUUUUUAUCGGGGUGUAUGCAACUGUAUAACUAUAAAUUGGCUUGCCCCUAGGUGUUCUUGGUUGGUGAUUCGGCAAUGAUUUGAAGUGGUCUGGCUUAUGAGCCGGUGGUUAGGUGGAGUCGGGUUAUUAUAGUUUCGGUACAGGAGGGGGAAAGGUGGCACAAAUAUGGGGGCAGGGCAUGUUUCUGCCUGAUUGAUACAAUCAUUUUUUUUCUUCUAGUAUCAAUCAAUCAUGCCAGCAUCUGAAACGGACUAUCAAAUCUGAAUUGGCACUGUUUUUUAUAUAUAAUGAUACCAUACAGCUCGAGAUGAACAUAUGCUUGACUGAAUAGCUGUUCAUACAUCUGGAGGUGUUACUAUGAGUACAAUUAGCAUUCAGAAAGAAAAGAAUUAUGAGUAAAAUGCAGAGAACGCACUUCCAGACUAUCAAUCAUGCAUGCCCAUAUCAUUUGCUUUGCUUAAUGUUUCUCAGUUUAACUUACUAGUCUCUUGUCUGUGUAUUUUUUGCUGCCAGAAGGGAUCCAAAUAGGUUGUAACUGGGAGUAAAAGAUGUGUCUAAACUGAUCGUCUGGUGCGAAAAUCGACGACCAAGAUCCAGUUAUGUGUAUUGCAGGACAACACCUUUCAUUAGAUACACUUUGAUGCUAUUUCUAGCAUGAUUUUCUAUUUCAGACUUAAAACUAAAUUUCUGAACAACUAAAAUCGCUCUUGUUCCUUAUUUUUUUAGGGCGGUUCCUCUCAUUUUACUGGUUCGUCCUCUCCUUCAUGAUUGAUGUACUGGUUCUGGCCGCUCCUUCGUGAUAGACUCGGUUAACUCUUUGUUAGCCUUGUGGGUCGUAAUUCUUUCUCUCCAGACGCAUAUACUGCCUAAUGUAUUGCUCAUGCUCAUUCUGUACCGAGAUAGUCCUAAUAUCCAUAGGGUUGUAGAUUGAUUUCCCCUGAAAAAGCUAUGCUUCUUUCCUUGGAUGAUAAGCAUGUUCGGCAGCUAUGUGGAAUUCUUAAGAUAAACGGUCUUUAGUAUCUUUUGGUGCAUCUGCGUGCACGUAACAGUCUGUUAGUUUCUCUUUAUAUAAUGAAAAAAAUAUGCUACUGUUGCUUGUUUAUUAUUAUCUAUCAUUUGUAGAUUUAUUUUUAGGCCACCGGUGCUUGUAUGUAUAAUUUCUAGUCUCUUGAAUGAAUAAUUUUUCUUUAUGUGUCAUGCGUCUUGUGUUACUACAUACAUCUGUCGUGAAGUACAUGGUUCCGGAACUAUGGUAACCCGUAGUUUGCUCUACCCGUGAUAGUAGGAUGAUGGAAGCAUCACUACUGAAUGUAGUUCAUGUUUCUUCAUAUAAUCAUCAUUUACUAGAGUUUCUCUUCUUCUUGCUACUGCUUGGUUUUUGACGCCACUAGCUUGUACUAAAACGUAAACACAUCAUAUUGUUUUCAUCAGACUAGGGUACCUUGAGCAUGCAAAGUAAACACAUGCUACUCCACUUGUCUAUUUGUACAUAAACUUUUUUUAAAAUAAACCGAGCUAAUAAACCAAACGGUGCGAACACAUUCAGUUCUGAAAUUUGUCUACUCCACUUAUUUGAUUGUACUAAAACCUUUGUUUGCAUGUUUCUAAAAUACAGAGAAGAACACCCUGUGUUCUGGUAAAAUAUUUGUUUGCUAUGAUAUGAAAUCCCAUGAUGUGUGUGUUGUUUCAGUUUCUGUAGCUACAACAAAGUCCCAGUUUACUCUGUACUUGCUUUUGAUGAUUGCUGGCUAAAUUUACAGUUGAAAUAAUAGUAGCCAAGGAGUAGAUACAAGACGUAUUUACCGUAUUUUGCAUGGAAUGUUAAAAAUCAGUUUUGUUGCGGUUUCUUGUUCUGUGAGUCAAAUUGCAUAAGAUGGGAGUAUCACAACAUGCAUAUACUGAAGAUGGGAGUAUCACAACCUGAAUGUGCAGCUUAUGUAGUUUCUGUAUUUUUGUUAAAGCAUGGAGUAGCUUCUAUAGUUUCUGUAUUUUUGUUAAAGCAUGGAGUAGCUUCUAUAGCUUCCUCACAAGUUAAUGCUUCGCUCGUCCGGGUGUGUGAUAAAGCCAUUUGUCUUGUGGAAUCAGAUUACAUUUCUGUUUGUUAUGGUAAUAUAAAAAUAUUCGUGCUAUCAAAAUUUUCACAGUGCGUGUCUUUCAUUUCUUUAAUUUGAUUGUUUCCCUUGUAUUCAAUAUGCUUCUAGUGGCUGAUCCUUCCAUUUUUGUUGUGGCAUCUUUAUUUUCACAGGUGUUGUGUGUUCUGGAAGAUGGAAGAGGAAGAAAUUGUUGAACUAAAUUUUCUGUAUUCUGUUUUGUUGUACGUAUCAUUUGAUAGUUUUGUAUAGGAACAAGUGAUACUAUUUUGUAGGGCUUUAUGGCCUGUGAUGUAAACAUAUUUAGUGCUGAAAUAUGAAAUUAUUUGCAAAAUUU